rnacentral:rRNA from 1 species
UACCAGACUCCUACGGGAGGCAGCAGUGGGGAAUAUUGCACAAUGGGGGAAACCCUGAUGCAGCGACGCCGCGUGAGUGAAGAAGUAUCUCGGUACGUAAAGCUCUAUCAGCAGGGAAGAAAAUGACGGUACCUGACUAAGAAGCCCCGGCUAACUACGUGCCAGCAGCCGCGGUAAUACGUAGGGGGCAAGCGUUAUCCGGAUUUACUGGGUGUAAAGGGAGCGUAGGUGGCGUGCCAAGUCAGGAGUGAAAACCCAGGGCCCAACCUUGGGACUGCUCUUGAAACUGGCAGGCUUGAGUGCUGGAGAGGUAAGCGGAAUUCCUAGUGUAGCGGUGAAAUGCGUAGAUAUUAGGAGGAACACCAGUGGCGAAGGCGGCUUACUGGACAGUGACUGACACUGAGGCUCGAAAGCGUGGGGAGCAAACAGGAUUAGAUACCCUGGUA